rnacentral:rRNA from 1 species
AGUGAACGCUGGCGGUAGGCCUAACACAUGCAAGUCGAACGGCAGCACAGGAGAGCUUGCUCUCUGGGUGGCGAGUGGCGGACGGGUGAGGAAUACAUCGGAAUCUACUCUGUCGUGGGGGAUAACGUAGGGAAACUUACGCUAAUAGCGCAUACGACCUACGGGUGAAAGCAGGGGAUCUUCGGACCUUGCGCGAUUGAAUGAGCCGAUGUCGGAUUAGCUAGUUGGCGGGGUAAAGGCCCACCAAGGCGACGAUCCGUAGCUGGUCUGAGAGGCUGAUCAGCCCCACUGGAACUGAGACACGGUCCAGACUCCUACGGGAGGCAGCAGUGGGGAAUAUUGGACAAUGGGCGCAAGCCUGAUCCAGCCAUACCGCGUGGGUGAAGAAGGCCUUCGGGUUGUAAAGCCCUUUUGUUGGGAAAGAAAUCCAGCUGGCUAAUACCCGGUUGGGAUGACGGUACCCAAAGAAUAAGCACCGGCUAACUUCGUGCCAGCCGCCGCAGUAA